rnacentral:lncRNA from 1 species
UUUGUAUUGAACAGUUUGCAAUGUGAUCAACAGGACAUAUUUGGGGAAUAAUCGAGUAGGCCAGUGGUUCUUGGUGUGAGCUGGGAGAACUUUUGCAAUUGGAGAUGUUGUGAAAUCCUCUAGGGACUUUCUCAAGUUACACCACCAUUCUUGGUUGAAAUUGUUGUGGUGGGGAAAUUUUUUUUGAGAACCAUCGAGUUAGUGCUAGCAUAGAAUCUAACAAGAAAUGGCCCUGCAUCCAUUCUCUUUUCUUCUAAUAACAGCCCCAGAUUUCCAUUUUUGGACCUACCUUUUCCUUUUUAUCAGGCUAAGUGUUCAUGGUGGGGCUCUGUCCUUAGUUCCAGGGAUAAAGCCUGUGACCCAAACUUAAACCGCAGAUCAUUUUCCCCAGGCCAUGGAGAUUGUUUCAAAUGUGGGCACAUGGCCUGAAUGGGUCAUAUCAGAGUAAAUCUUAGGGCUUCUGGGUUAUGCCACCAUCACAGGCUCUUGCUUUCCUCACUGAACUUGAACCUAGACGGAUGUAAGCUGGAGCUGUGGCAGCCAUCAUUGCCCUGUGAAAAGUCCACUUGGAGCUGCCAAAGACCACCCCAGGAGCUUCAGAAUGAAGACAACCUGGAAGUCAGAGCUGACAGAAAUGCCUCUUAUUGUUUACAUUAUGAAGUCUCAACUUGGAUGGAAGCCCAACUGCAACACGGCCUCCUAAAAUGAGACGCAACUGUUCAACUGAACUGUUCUCAGGACUAAAAGGCUGUGUCAAUAAGAUACGGGGAAUAUUUGUUCUUCUGUGUGUUCCGAUCCUUGUUUUUCUUUCCCUUCGUUGAUCUCUUGUUUCACAACUUCCAACCCAAAUCUGCUCACAGCUACUAACUUGGCUUUUAACAUAUGAAACUUUCUAAAAGUAAAGUUUCAAAUGGGGAAUGAAGAGGCUCAGAAUACACUACCCCAAAACAUGUCACUCAGAACACAUCAUCCCCAAAUAUGCCACUUUGGCAUCAGAAUUAUUUUAAACUAAAGGCACAUAAAAACAGGAGAUGCAAGAAGAUCACUCUGACCUUCACUGUUCUUUAAAAGCCAGAGAUGAAAUUCCCAUGUGAAAGGUGUUCUCCCUAAACCAAGAAGAAAGUAACAUUCUCAUCACAAAGGAUAGGAAGUUGAGGCUGAUAGGAAUCUAUACAAGCAUCCCUUAUGUUCCUAAUUACUUAUUUACCCAGUUAUUUACCCUAGCAUAAGCCCCUUUGCCUUGUUACAUUUUCACAAUUCAGGGCAUAAAUGUUUGACUCUAGCUGCUGCUUUGUGUCUUCAUUUCCUUAUGAAUGCUCUCCUGCCAUUAAAAAACUUGCAUUAAAUAAUUUAUAUACUUUUCUCCUGUUGAUUUGUCUUAUGUCUAUUUAAUUCUCCAGGCCCAGGCAACAAACAAACAAACAAGAAAACAAAACAAAAACAAAAAACCCCCAACAACAACAACAACAAAACCAUAAAAGAGGAGGGGCAAAUUUUUGCCUCCUCUUCUGCAUUUUUCACAUGCUUUAUCCUGUUUUCACUUCUUUACUUUCUGGCACUAUAAGGUGUUCCAGGCUCAUCUUAUAUUUAUUUUCCCUAUCCUAGCCCUGGAAUCAGCCACUUCUACACUUCUUGAAGGAGUCCUGGUUCCUUUCAUCAGGGAACGGCAUUUCGAAAUCAAGAUCUGAGUGCUGGCUGUGCUCAUUGCUACUGGUGUCACUGCUCAUAGUCUCCUCUCUCUCAGUGGGCAGAGCUAGGUAAUUCAUGCUUUGGUACUCAAUGAAAUAAAAGAGGGCACAAA